AUGAACAACCACCACGCUGCGCUUUGGUCCGCCUCUACUUCACAAGAAGAGAAUCGUUACAGAAUCACCCACCACAACAGGACCAAGCGGUGUGGUAAUGGGCAAAGGAGAAAGCAGCAGCAGGAGCAGCGCGAGGAGGUAUGGACAUGGGAGGACGAAUUAGACGGUAAAGGACCUUGGGCUCAGCCAGGAGAAUAUCGCCGCCCCAAGGAAGAACGGGAGGCGGCGAAAGCGGAGAGGCGCUGGUACGAGGAGGCAGCGCGGCGUCGUGGAUGGAAGCCCGGGAGUCAGCCCCAAAAAUUUCUUGGGGGGGGGCUAACAGGGAGUAUGGCUACGCCAGGUAGGAGACCUGAGCCAACUUCCUGUGGUUACCGGGGGGCUAGAGAGACCGGGCAGGCACCGUGUUAUGCUGUGGAGCGCACGGUGUCCCCAGCGCGGGUGCACAGCCCGGUGCGGUACAUUCCAGCUCCGCGUAUCGGCCGGGCUAGAGUGGGCAUCGAGCCAAGUGCCAUGAAGCCGGCUCUACGCAUCUGGUCUCCAGUGCGUCUCCUUGGGCCGGCUUACAUGGCACCAGCCUUGCGCACGGUGUCCCCGGUUCGCCUGCAUAGCCCAGUGCGGGCUAUUCCACCUCGCCGCACUGGCAGGGCGACCGGGACCAUUCAACCGGGUAAGGUUGGGCAGGCUCGGUGCUCAAGAGCUCCAGUGCGCCUGCACGGCCCGGUCUAUCCGUCACCACCUCCACACCCCAGCCCUCCGGUGGCAGCUCCCCGUACCAGGCUGUCUCUCCGGCCCAUCCGUCCAGAGCCUUCCUCCUCUCCAGCCGUGCCGGAGCCUCCCGCCUGUCCGGCGCCUCUGCCGGAGCCUCCCGCCUGUCCGGCGCCUCUGCCGGAGCCUCCCGCCUGUCCGGCGCCUCUGCCGGAGCCUCCCGCCUGUCCGGCGCCUCUGCCGGAGCCUCCCGCCUGUCCGGCGCCUCUGCCGGAGCCUCCCGCCUGUCCGGCGCCUCUGCCGGAGCUUCCCGUCUGCCCGGCGCCUCUGCCGGAGCUUCCCGUCUGCCCGGCGCCAUCGGAGCUUCCCGUCUGCCCAGUGCCGCCCGUCUGCCCAGCGCCGCCAGUGCCGCCCGUCUGCCCAGCGCCGCCAGCGCCGCCCGUCUGCCCAGCGCCGCCAGCGCCGCCCGUCUGCCCAGCGCCGCCAGUGCCGCCAGUCAGCCCAGCGCCAGCGCCGCCAGUCAGCCAGGGGCCGCCAGUGCCGCCAGUCAGCCAGGGGCCGCCAGUCAGCCAGGGGCCGCCAGUGCCGCCAGUCAGCCAGGGGCCGCUAGAGCCCCUCCGCCCGGAGCAGCUGUCCCUCUGUCCCGAGCAGCUGUCCCUCUGUCCCGAGCAGCUGUCCCUCUGUCCCGAGCAGCUGUCCCUCUGUCCCGAGCAGCUGUCCCUCUGUCCCGAGCAGCUGUCCCUCUGUCCCGGGAAGCUGCCCCUCUGUCCCAAGCAGCCCCUCUGUCCAGUGGGGUCAUUGAGAGGGGUGGGCAUGGUGAGUAAGCCACGGAGGCGGACAAUAAGGCGGACUGAGACAAUGGCGAAGUGGGGUCCGCGUCCCGCGCCAGAGCCGCCACCGCGGACAGACGCCCACCCAGACCCUCCCCUAUAG
rnacentral:lncRNA from 13 species